rnacentral:rRNA from 1 species
GCAUAGCCAUAAAUCUAAACAGAAUAAAUACUAAUUCUGCCCGCCAGAAAACUACAAGCAUAAGCUUGAAACUCAAAGAACUUGGCGGCGCUUUAGACCCACCUAGAGGAGCCUGUCCUAUAACCGAUAACCCCCGUUAAACCUUACCUUCUUUAGCAUCCAGUCUAUAUACCGCCGUCGUCCAGCUCACCCUUUGAAGGCAAAAUAGUAAGCAAGAUUAGUAAAGCUCAAGACGCCAGGUCAAGGUGUAGCAUAUAAGAAGCGAAGAGAUGGGCUACACUUCCUAACCCUAGGGCUUCACGAAAAGUAUUUUGAAAUAAAUACAUUGAAGUAGGAUUUAGCAGUAAGUAAAAAAUAGAGAGUUUUACUGAAGCUGGCCCUGAGGCGCGC